rnacentral:rRNA from 1 species
UACGAAGGGGGCGAGCGUUGUUCGGAUUUACUGGGCGUAAAGGGCGCGCAGGCGGCCGCUCAAGUCAGGCGUGAAAGCCCCGGGCUUAACCUGGGAACUGCGUCUGGGACUGAGUGGCUAGAGUUCGGGAGAGGAGAGUGGAAUUCCCAGUGUAGAGGUGAAAUGCUUAGAUAUGACAUAGAACACCUAUUGCGAAGGCAGCUUACUACGCAUAUAUUGACGCUGAGGCACGAAAGCGUGGGGAUCAAACAGG